rnacentral:rRNA from 1 species
AUUGAACGCUGGCGGCAGGCUUAACACAUGCAAGUCGAGCGGAGAUGAGGUGCUUGCACCUUAUCUUAGCGGCGGACGGGUGAGUAAUGCUUAGGAAUCUGCCAUUUAGUGGGGGACAACAUUCCGAAAGGAAUGCUAAUACCGCAUACGUCCUACGGGAGAAAGCAGGGGAUCUUCGAACCUUGCGCUAAAUGAUGAGCCUAAGUCGGAUUAGCUAGUUGGUGGGGUAAAGGCCUACCAAGGCGACGAUCUGUAGCGGGUCUGAGAGGAUGAUCCGCCACACUGGGACUGAGACACGGCCCAGACUCCUACGGGAGGCAGCAGUGGGGAAUAUUGGACAAUGGGCGGAAGCCUGAUCCAGCCAUGCCGCGUGUGUGAAGAAGGCCUUUUGGUUGUAAGGCACUUUAAGCGAGGAGGAGGCUACUAGUACUAAUACUACUGGAUAGUGGACGUUACUCGCAGAAUAAGCACCGGCUAACUCUGUGCCAGCCGCCGCAGUAAAAC